rnacentral:rRNA from 1 species
GGGCCCGCACAAGCGGUGGAGUAUGUGGUUUAAUUCGAUGCAACGCGAAGAACCUUACCAGGGUUUGACAUCCUGCGAAUCUCUUGGAAACAGGAGAGUGCCUUCGGGAACGCAGUGACAGGUGGUGCAUGGCUGUCGUCAGCUCGUGUCGUGAGAUGUUGGGUUAAGUCCCGCAACGAGCGCAACCCACGUCUUUAGUUGCCAGCAUUUAGUUGGGCACUCUAGAGAGACUGCCGGUGAUAAACCGGAGGAAGGUGUGGAUGACGUCAAGUCAGCAUGCCCCUUAUGUCCUGGGCUACACACGUGCUACAAUGGGGAAUACAGACGGACGCUAAGCCGCGAGGUGGUG